rnacentral:rRNA from 1 species
GACAGAGGGGGCAAGCGUUGCUCGGAAUUACUGGGCGUAAAGGGCGCGUAGGCGGGAUGGCAAGUCGGUCGUGAAAUCCUUCGGCUCAACCGAAGAACGUCGAUCGAUACUGCUGUUCUUGAGGGUUGCAGAGGAGACUGGAAUUCCCGGUGUAGCGGUGAAAUGUGUAGAGAUCGGGAGGAACACCGGUGGCGAAGGCGGGUCUCUGGACAGUUCCUGACGCUGAGGCACGAAGGUCAGGGGAGCAAACGGG